rnacentral:rRNA from 1 species
CUUGGUGGCGAGUGGCGGACGGGUGAGUAACGCGUAGGAAUCUACCCAGUAGCGGGGGACAACGUGUGGAAACGCACGCUAAUACCGCAUACGCCCCACGGGGGAAAGCAGGGGAUCUUCGGACCUUGCACUAUUGGAUGAGCCUAUGUCUGAUUAGCUAGUUGGUGGGGUAAAGGCCUACCAAGGCAACGAUCAGUAGCUGGUCUGAGAGGACGACCAGUCACACUGGGACUGAGACACGGCCCAGACUCC